rnacentral:ncRNA from 1 species
AAAAGGGGUGCUGUGAAAACGGCUGAGAUGGGACACUGUCCCGAACCCUAUGAACCUGAUACGGGUAAUACCGGCGGAGGGAGUUUUU